UCUAACCUAUACUAAAAGGGGAAUAUGGUCAAAGGAGAGCCUGUCCACGUUGGAUUAAAUAAUCAACCAGUAAAAAAUUGACAUGUCAGCUUCAUUUUUAAGUAAUCCUCUGUUUUUGUCCACGUCUUUAUUUCUACAAACCCAAACUCCUACCUAAUUUUUGACAAAAUAUCGCCUCCAGACCGAUUCGACUUCUCAUUCCUUCUGAUUGAAAAAUCAAUCAUAAAUCACUAUGUUAUCUUCUCCACCGAUUCACCUGCGUAGAGUCUCAUUUCCACCCCUAUCACUCAUAAAGACCCAACCGUUAUUGCAUUAACACAAAGCUAAUCAACUCUUCCAAUUCUCACACCUAAAAACGUUAUAUAUAUAGCUCUUUUACGGUGCUCUCAUUCACCAAGAAGCUACCUUCAUCAGUUUGCAACUCUUGACUAAUGCUUCUUCAUUAGGCCAAGAUCUCAUACAUUUAUCCUUUUGCUCCCUUCUUUGCUCGACAAUCUUUCGCAAGGUGGAUUAUCUAUGUGACCAAGGAGCCACCGAAGUGAGCAGGAUGUAGCAAAGCGGCUGCAACUGAUCCAAACAAACCAAAAAGGCCAGCCGGGGCCUUCUUCUUUUUCAUGUAAUAAUCGCCUGCAAAUUCUUCUUUUAUUUUGUGUUCAGUAGUUUCCAUGGGUUAAAUUUUUUUAUUUAAAAAAGUUCUUCCUCUGGCUACUGCGAAAUCUAAUACAGGUUAGAUGGUUUGAAUCCUUUCUGUUAUUUUGAUGUCAAAAGUAUUUGACAAUGGUUAUAUGAACUUAUAAAUCUGUUGCCAUUAUUCCUCUUUUUAAUUUGAUUGUAAUGUAUUUUUUGUUGGUUUUCUAUUAUUUGUAUGGACAUACAAGUUGCAAAAGCUGCUGGAGAUAAGUGGAAAUUCUUGACAAAUGGGGUAUGUUCUCUCAACAAUUACCCAUAGUUGUGUUAUUAGCUUAUCAUCUCAGUUGUCAUAACAAAGUAUAAUACUUGUGUUUUACAAUAAGUGAGGAGAAAUAACUUCAUGUUGCCAAGGCUGAAAAUCACAAGUUUGACUACGAGAAUAACAUUGAGACCGUACAACAAGAAAUUGGUAAACCAAGUGUCAAUCAAGUGUCAGUUUAUAGAUUGGUUGUUAUGUUGGUCGUUGACCAAUCAUUGAUUACUUUUCACUCAUAGAAGAAAUAUCCAAAGGAAGAUGAGGGAUCUGAAAAAUCAGUGCCAGAGGUUAGGAUGAAAGAGAAAGGGUGCAAGAGCAUAAAAACUACACGCUACACAAACCUCUUGAAGCUAAGGACAUUGCAGCUAAGAAAGCUCAGAGAAAUUCUGAGUAUUUAAGGGAGAAAGAGAAGAAAACGGUAUCAGCGAAAGGCUACAAUUGUUUAAGAAAUAUGUGAAGCAAUGAAAUUGAGCAAGGAAUCGUCUGAUGAUGGUGGCAGAAGCUGCUCAUUACGCCGAAGUGGCUACUCAUAAAACAGAUGUUGUUGGGUAGAUAGUGCAAGGGACAAACUCGAUUGCAGGGACGGUGGAAGGUGCAGUGGGAUAUGCAGGGCAUAAGGUGGCUAUAAAAAUGUGGAGUUGAUUAAAAAUAAAUCAGCAGCGGCUGCUAAUAUGGUGGUUGGAUACACAGUGAGCCAGAAAGAGAAAGCUCAACACAAAUGCCAAGAAAUGCACCAGGUACUACUCCGCUUACGUCAAAGAUCUUGAUUUAGCUCAUUCAAGUAUCAUAAUGUUGUUACGUGGUUCUCAAGAAACUGUUUUUAGAUUUGUUGAGUGGGGGUGAGGAAGAGAAGCUACCAGGGUUUGUCACAGAAUCAAGAAGAUGCUAUGGACCGAUGUAAGAGAAAUUAGAAGUAAGGAAAUUGUAUUCGGAUAUGGACCAAAAGGGUUCGGGUAUGAAGAAAGAUGUUUAAAUAUGGAACAAAUGGAAUGUUUUUUCAAUUGUUUUUGCUUAUAAGGGUCCUUUAUCUAAAUAGCAUGAGACUAUGCUUCAGAAUAAUUCCCUUCUAAAUAAAAACCGCUCUUUUUCUAUUAAAUGGGUUGAAGUAUGUAACUGGUUAAGGUUUAUCAAUCUAAUCAAUCUCUUCAUAUUUUCCUUUGAA